UGAGGAAUAUUGGACAAUGGGCGCAAGCCUGAUCCAGCCAUGCCGCGUGCAGGAUGACGGUCCUAUGGAUUGUAAACUGCUUUUAUACGAGAAGAAACAUCCCGACGUGUCGGGACUUGACGGUAUCGUAAGAAUAAGGAUCGGCUAACUCCGUGCCAGCAGCCGCGGUAAUACGGAGGAUCCAAGCGUUAUCCGGAAUCAUUGGGUUUAAAGGGUCCGUAGGCGGUUUAAUAAGUCAGUGGUGAAAGCCCAUCGCUCAACGGUGGAACGGCCAUUGAUACUGUUAAACUUGAAUUAUUAGGAAGUAACUAGAAUAUGUAGUGUAGCGGUGAAAUGCUUAGAGAUUACAUGGAAUACCAAUUGCGAAGGCAGGUUACUACUAAUUGAUUGACGCUGAUGGACGAAAGCGUGGGUAGCGAACAG
rnacentral:rRNA from 1 species